GACGAACGCUGGCGGCGUGCUUAACACAUGCAAGUCGAACGAAGUGGCGAACGGGUGAGUAACGCGUAAUCAACCUGCCCUUCAGAGGGGGACAACAGUUGGAAACGACUGCUAAUACCGCAUACUGAGGGAGGGGAUUGCGUCUGAUUAGCUAGUUGGGGGGGUAACGGCCCACCAAGGCGAUGAGCAGUAGCUGGUCGGAGAGGAUGACCAGGCACAUUGGGACGUAGAAACGGCCCAGACUCCUACGGGAGGCAGCAGUGGGGAAUCUGCCGCAAUGGACGAAAGUCUGACGGAGCAACGCCGCGUGAGUGAUGACGGCCUUCGGGUUGUAAAGCUCUGUUAAUCGGGACGCGGUACCGGAAUAGAAAGCCACGGCUAACUACGUGCCAGCAGCCGCGGUAAUUC
rnacentral:rRNA from 1 species